AAUAACCAAACAUCUUUUGUAAAAUGAUCCAUUGAACUCACUGUGCUUUCAGUUUGAGUUACUCCAUGUGUUUUUAUCAACACAAAAAUUUAAAAAAGCAGAAGUUACACCAUGAAGUGGCUCAAGAAUGAGGAAAUACCCAGACUUUGCCCAGUCCCACAUUCAAACCAAUCAGAUCCCAGUUGCAGUAAUGUGGGUGGAGCAGCUCAACAACAAACUGCAGGUUGGUACCAGAGUCACAGCUCCGUCCUACAGUCAUUAUGUUCUUGUACUGAUCUGUGUCGUGUCUGUAAACUCGCUCUUCUGCUUUCAAGGCUGAGUGUGAAGAGGAGAGAGAAACUAGACAAAUGAAGACUCACUCUGGGAUCAUUUGUAGUGGAUGUGACACAGAGCUCCUAUCAGGCAGAGGAGAACCACAACAUCACACUGGAGUGGACGUUCACCACCAAACCAGACACGUCCAUCUCAG
rnacentral:lncRNA from 1 species